UACGAAGGGGGCUAGCGUUGUUCGGAUUUACUGGGCGUAAAGCGCACGUAGGCGGAUCUUUUAAGUCAGAGGUGAAAUCCCAAGGCUCAACCUUGGAACUGCCUUUGAUACUGGGGAUCUUGAGUCCGGGAGAGGUGAGUGGAACUGCGAGUGUAGAGGUGAAAUUCGUAGAUAUUCGCAAGAACACCAGUGGCGAAGGCGCUCACUGGCCCGGUACUGACGCUGAGGUGCGAAAGCCAAGGGAGCAAACAGGAUUAAGAAACCCGUUGUAC
rnacentral:rRNA from 1 species